GAACCUGAUGCAGCCAUGCCGCGUGUGUGAAGAAGGCCUUCGGGUUGUAAAGCACUUUCAGUUGUGAGGAAAGGUUGGUAGUUAAUACCUGCCAGCUGUGACGUUAACAACAGAAGAAGCACCGGCUAACUCCGUGCCAGCAGCCGCGGUAAUACGGAGGGUGCGAGCGUUAAUCGGAAUUACUGGGCGUAAAGCGCACGCAGGCGGCUUGUUAAGCUAGAGGUGAAAGCCCCGCGCUCAACGUGGGAACUGCCUUUAGAACUGGCAGGCUAGAGUCUUGGAGAGGGGAGUGGAAUUCCAGGUGUAGCGGUGAAAUGCGUAGAUAUCUGGAGGAACAUCAGUGGCGAAGGCGGCUCCCUGGCCAAAGACUGACGCUCAUGUGCGAAAGUGUGGGUAGCGAACAGGAUUAGAUACCCUGGUAGUCCACACCGUAAACGCUGUCUACUAGCUGUUUGUGUAUUUAAUACGUGAGUAGCGAAGCUAACGCGCUAAGUAGACCGCCUGGGGAGUACGGCCGCAAGGUUAAAACUCAAA
rnacentral:rRNA from 1 species